rnacentral:misc_RNA from 1 species
GUAAAUUUCAGGGAAAGAUAGCUCCAAUUUUGAUUUUUGACAAAUUGCACACACGCAGAGUCUUGUCUUGAAGCUUUUUAUAUACAGGUUCACACCCAGAAAUUGCCCCUCUUCUCUUUUAUGUGGGUGAUGCUCUGAAGCCUAAAUGGAGAAGUUGAAUCGGAUUCCACUCAGAGAACGGCCGUGCGACGGGGAGGAGGAUGAUCGGAGCAUGGUGCAGGUCGAUGGUGGUGAGCUUGACGGUGGAUUCGAUGGAGGAGAGGAGGAGGAGGGCGUGAUGAAUGGAAUGGAAGAAGUGGCGCAAAUGAGUUCGAUGGAUUUUAAGAGUAAUAAUGGUUGUAUGGUUCAAUCAUCUAGGACCAGUGAGCUUACCAUCGCUUUUGAAGGCGAGGUCUAUGUUUUCCCUGCGGUUACGCCUCAAAAAGUGCAAGCAGUGCUGUUACUUCUGGGAGGGGCUGAUACACCUGCCAGUGUACCAAGUUCUGAAUUUUUGCUGCAACAGAAUGCUGGAGUAUAUCAUAGUGUGGGUGAUGCUUCUCGAGGAUCAAAACUUUCUCGAAGAAUUGCCUCCCUGGUAAGGUUCCGUGAAAAGCGUAAAGGAAGAUGCUUUGAAAAGAAAAUUCGGUACAAUUGCCGGAAAGAAGUUGCCGAGAGAAUGCAUCGUAAAAAUGGACAAUUUGCAUCACUGAAGGACUGUUACAACACAGAUGCUGGUAGCAACUGGGAACCAAGCAAUGGCACUCCUCAUUCUGAAU